UACGUAGGGGGCAAGCGUUGUCCGGAUUUAUUGGGCGUAAAGCGCUCGCAGGUGGUUCGAUGCGUCGUGCGUGAAAGACCCCGGCUCAACUGGGGAGGGUCGUGCGAUACGGUCGAACUGGAGGCCAGUAGGGGGAUGCGGAAUUCCGGGUGUAGUGGUGGAAUGCGUAGAGAUCCGGAGGAACACCAGCGGCGAAGGCGGCAUCCUGGACCGACACUGACGCUGAGGCGCGAAAGCUAGGGAGCAAACAGGG
rnacentral:rRNA from 1 species